rnacentral:ribozyme from 11 species
CGGCUGAGCCAGCAGUGAGAGAUGGCCACCACUGGAACAGAAACGAGACUCUGGCCG